AGAAAACCUGCGCCAUCUUACAUGUUUAGAUGAGCAGUAAAGUUCAACAUUUCUGUCGUUCAACAGUCAAAAAAUAGAGUUUUUGUUAAUUUACGUUUUAAUUACUCCGCCGGGUUUCACCGUGGAAGGUACUAAAAGGAUUAUUCACCAGCCGCAACAAUAGAACAAAAGCUGCUCCUGUGUCUCCUGCUGUUAUCACAUGACUUGUGCCAGCUCUUCCUUCCCUGAGUUUCACAGAGGAUGCGGCUUCUUGUUCUUCAGUCUUCAAGCCCAGAAGUACCAGAAAUAUAUAAUAUAAGGAAGUGACCCCACCCGACUGACGAAUCAAGAUGAGACGCCAAAACCAGCUCUCAGUUCCGAAGACGAACAGACCCGAAGUAUUUGUCAGGUCCUCACACUUAAAGCUUAAUGAAUUCAUGAAGAGUCCCCUUCCAAAGUGAGGUAUCCACCAUUUCCAAAAAGUGACAUCUACUCAUACCGAAUGAUUUCUAGCAUUAAAUUAAAAAAUUACAGUGUGUUGAAGGUUAUUAAGUAAUGUAGGUCCUUGUUUGUCAAUAUAAAACACCUUUUACAGAUCUUAUUUUAGAUCAUUUUCAACUUAAUUUCUCCUUUUAUUGGUUCUUUGUUUUGGAAAUGAACUCUUCAUAGCUGCAACUCAAAACACAACAACAAACACCCAAAGAAUUCCACUGUGAUUUGACUCGAUUAUAACAUGUGCUUCCAUCUAACAGGUUUUUUUUUUCUAGGGUAACAAAAUUGUCAAUUAAAAACGGAAAAGGUGGCGUCAAAGUAAAGAGUGAAACCGAAUGGGCGGAGUGCUGCAUGUGGACGAACACACACAUUCUGGCUUAAAUCUUGUGUAACACUUCAAUCACAGUUCAUCUGAGAAAUAAGUCUUAACAUUUAAUAUUUUUCUUUUACAUCAAGGAAUGUUCAAGGACAGGAAAAAAAAUCUUUUUUUGUGUUUUUUGUUUGGUUUUAUAUAUAUUUUUGAGAGUUUUUCCUGCACUGCAUCCUCAGUGUCUUGUCUCUGUACACCUUCUGAACCAACUGGCCCUUCUCCGCUGUAGUUUGGACGUUAUUUUUCGGAUGAGCAAAGUCUGCAUGUGGUGUGUAUUAUGUGUAAAAGUUUGGGCAGGCGUGAAGCAGGAAAUGAGGUGUGUUCCUGUUUUUUUUCUCCCCCACUCCUGUGGUGCGACGGUGGCACCCUCUCUGCUGGUCCUCUUGAAGGGCAUGGGCUGCAACAACACAUCUGCUCUGAGUCAUGAUUCACAAAAAAGAGAUUAAGUGUGAUUGCUGUGACAGAGAGGGAGAGGGGAGUGGGGCAGGACAGAGUUGACCCUUUCCCUCGCCGUCAUUUGACACACAGAAAUGGCUGUUUUCUCUCUCGCGCCCCAAACCCUUCCCCCCAACCCUCCCGGCUUUUGUAGUUUUGUCCAUGGAGGCCUGGUAAGCGAGGCCUCUUAUGGGUCAGAGAGCAGCGCCAGCAACAGCCAGCCGAGGCCCAGCAGCAGGGAGAGGCGGACGGGCUUGGUUCCGCCGUCUGAAAGGCCCGGAGAGGGAAGAGUAGAGUCACUCUCGUCGCCCCACAAUCUGUCGUUCUCGUUUACCUGAAAGAAAACGUGAGGAAAAGUGCAUAUUCAGACUCCAAUAGAGUAACUUUUUAUUGAUCAGUUGAUGCUUUUGGUGUAGCUUCAUGCUACAGUAUGAAUAAUGGUCAUAUUGCCAUAUCGAACUCAGAAAAACAUGGCAAUUUUUAGUAGAUAUAGCAGCUACUUAGAGACUGGUGAUGGCUCGGGAUAUGUGCAGAAUUUAGCACUGUAUUGUUAUGACUGCCUCAUCGAAGUCAGAGAAAGACGCAAGGCUUUUUUUUUUUCUUUUUUAACAUAUGGCACGUUUU